GAUGAACGCUGGCGGCGUGCCUAAUACAUGCAAGUCGAGCGAACAGACGAGGAGCUUGCUCCUCUGACGUUAGCGGCGGACGGGUGAGUAACACGUGGAUAACCUACCUAUAAGACUGGGAUAACUUCGGGAAACCGGAGCUAAUACCGGAUAAUAUAUUGAACCGCAUGGUUCAAUAGUGAAAGACGGUUUUGCUGUCACUUAUAGAUGGAUCCGCGCCGCAUUAGCUAGUUGGUAAGGUAACGGCUUACCAAGGCAACGAUGCGUAGCCGACCUGAGAGGGUGAUCGGCCACACUGGAACUGAGACACGGUCCAGACUCCUACGGGAGGCAGCAGUAGGGAAUCUUCCGCAAUGGGCGAAAGCCUGACGGAGCAACGCCGCGUGAGUGAUGAAGGUCUGCGGAUCGUAAAACUCUGUUAUUAGGGAAGAACAAAUGUGUAAGUAACUAUGCACGUCUGGACGGUACCUAUCAGAAAGCCACGGCUAACUACGUG
rnacentral:rRNA from 1 species